UGACCUAAUGCAAACUCAGGAAAAUCU
rnacentral:misc_RNA from 1 species